UAUGUAGGGUGCAAGCGUUGUCCGGAAUUAUUGGGCGUAAAGAGCUCGUAGGCGGUUCGUCGCGUCGGCUGUGAAAACCCGGAGCUCAACUCCGGGCCUGCAGUCGAUACGGGCGGACUGGAGUUCGGCAGGGGAGACUGGAAUUCCUGGUGUAGCGGUGAAAUGCGCAGAUAUCAGGAGGAACACCGGUGGCGAAGGCGGGUCUCUGGGCCGAUACUGACGCUGAGGAGCGAAAGCGUGGGGAGCGAACAGG
rnacentral:rRNA from 1 species